UAAAAAGCGCUAUAUAAAUAAAUUUGACUUGACUUGACUUGACAGGUGUAUAGAUUGGGGUGUGGCUACUGAUACAGGUGGAGAGUUUGGGGUGUGGCUACUGCAGCAGGCUGAGAGUUUGGGGUGUGGCUAAACAAGUUUUAUUUCUCGCAGGAAAAUAUUGUGCAUGGCAACGUUAUCUUCACAGGGAAUGUUAGCUCUCUCCGCCAGCCAGUUU